rnacentral:rRNA from 1 species
UGUACGUAGACCCGAAACCGCAGUGAUCUACCCAUGUCCAGGUUGAAGCGCAGGUAAAAUUGCGUGGAGGACCGAACCUGUGAGCGUUGAAAAGCUUUAGGAUGAGAUGUGGGUAGAGGUGAAAUUCCAAUCGAACGCGGAGAUAGCUGGUUCUCCCCGAAAUAGCUUUAGGGCUAGCCUCAAGUAGUAAGUAUAGGCGGUAGAGCACUGAUCGGGCUAGGGGCCAUAAAGGUUACCGAACCCUGUCAAACUCCGAAUGGUUAUACUGUAGAGCUUGGGAGUCAGACUACGAGUGAUAAGAUCCGUGGUCAAAAGGGAAACAGCCCAGACCACCAGCUAAGGUCCCCAAUGUCGUACUAAGUGGAAAAGGAUGUGGGGUCUCUAAAACAACCAGGAUGUUGGCUUAGAAGCAGCCACCAUUUAAAGAGUGCGUAAUAGCUCACUGGUCGAGAGACCCUGCGCCGAAGAUUACCGGGGCUAAAGUACGAAACCGAAGCUGUGGCUACGACGUAAGUCGUGGGGUAGGGGAGCGUUCUGUGAGGGCUGAAGUCGUUCUGUAAGGAACGGUGGACUUCACAGAAGUGAGAAUGUUGGUAUGAGUAGCGAAAAGAAUGGUGAGAAUCCAUUCCACCGAAAGCAUAAGGAUUCCUGGGCAACGAUCGUCGUCCCAGGGUAAGUCGGGACCUAAUCCGAGGCAUGGAGCGUAGGAGAUGGACAACUGGCAGAUAUUCCAGUACCGGUAAUGAUUGUUUGAGCGAUGGAGUGACACAGGAGGGCAGGCAGGCAGGAGAUUGGUUGUUCCUGUACAAGCGUGUAGGAUGGGACGUAGGCAAAUCCGCGUCCUGUGAGUCUGAGGCGUGAUGUGGAGGUUCCGGAAACGGAACUGAAGCUGCUGACCCCACACUGUCGAGAAAAGCUUCUAGUUAGAGAAUUGCCGCCCGUACCGUAAACCGACACAGGUAUGCGGGGAGAGAAUCCUAAGGUGCGCGGGAGAACCCUCGUUAAGGAACUCGGCAAAAUGUACCCGUAACUUCGGGAUAAGGGUAGCCGCUGUUGUGAAGUCUGAACAGACGGAGCAUGAGGCGGUCGCAGAGAAGAGGCCCAAGCGACUGUUUACCACAAACACAGGUGCCUGCUAAAGAGAAAUCUGACGUAUAGGUGCUGACACCUGCCCAGUGCCGGAAGGUUAAGGAAGGAUGUCCGGAGCAAUCCAAAGCAUUCGACCGAAGCCCCGGUGAACGGCGGCCGUAACUAUAACGGUCCUAAGGUAGCGAAAUUCCUUGUCGGGUAAG